CCUACGGGUGGCAGCAGUGGGGAAUAUUGGACAAUGGGCGAAAGCCUGAUCCAGCCAUGCCGCGUGUGUGAAGAAGGCCUUCGGGUUGUAAAGCACUUUCAGUGGGGAAGAAAGCCUUGGGGCUAAUACCCUCGAGGAAGGACAUCACCCACAGAAGAAGCACCGGCUAACUCCGUGCCAGCAGCCGCGGUAAUACGGAGGGUGUGAGCGUUAAUCGGAAUUACUGGGCGUAAAGCGCGCGUAGGCGGUCUGAUAAGCCGGUUGUGAAAGCCCCGGGCUCAACCUGGGAACGGCAUCCGGAACUGUCAGGCUAGAGUGCAGGAGAGGAAGGUAGAAUUCCCGGUGUAGCGGUGAAAUGCGUAGAGAUCGGGAGGAAUACCAGUGGCGAAGGCGGCCUUCUGGACUGACACUGACGCUGAGGUGCGAAAGCGUGGGUAGCAAACAGGAUUAGAUACCCCAGUAGUC
rnacentral:rRNA from 1 species